rfam:Ornithorhynchus anatinus chromosome X1, whole genome shotgun sequence.
UUCCUCUCAGGAUCACACCUGAAGAGUUCCCAUACUCUACCAGUCUCGACUAUAGGAGGGAGAGUCAGGCAGAAGCAUAUCCAUUCCAUUCCUAGCUUGGGCAGUGGCUAGUGAGUGGAAGGCUGUCUGCAACAAGU